AGACCGAUAGCGAACAAGUAGAGUGAUCGAAAGAUGAAAAGCACUUUGAAAAGAGAGUCAAACAGUACGUGAAAUUGUUGAAAGGGAAGCGCAUGGGGGCAGACUUGGACGCGGGGUUCAGCGUUUCUAUUGGAGCGUGUACUUCCCCGCGUGCAGGCCAGCAUCGGUUCCGGGGGCCGGACAAAGACGUUGGGAAUGUGGCUCCCCUCGGGGAGUGUUAUAGCCCGACGUGCAAUGCGGCCACCUGGGACCGAGGACCGCGCCUUGUGCAAGGAUGCUGGCGUAAUGGCCUCAUGCGGCCCGUCUUGAAACACGGACCAAG
rnacentral:rRNA from 2 species